rnacentral:rRNA from 1 species
UGCAGCAAGAGAAACGGCGCCCAGAACGCAACCAGGCGAUGCUCGCGGGGUGUGGCACCGUCGAAUGAGAGGUGGCCGAGAGCAUAUAUCGCGGUGGCGUCGGCCAGUUGGUACGCCAGCCAGAGCAUGAACCUGAACGUACGCCAGGAUGUGCCACGCCGCCGGAUCGCCGCUAACAGGACGAGGGCAACCUGCAGAGUUAGGCUCGUCAGCACCAGGCUCUGA